AACGCACCUUGCGCUCCUUGGUAUUCCGAGGAGCAUGCCUGUUUGAGUGUCAUUAAAUUCUCAGCCCUCAAGCUUUUGUGAGUUGUGAUGGGCUUGGAUAUGGGGGCUUGCAGGCCUUUACUAAGAGGUCAGCUCUCCUGAAAUGCAUUAGCGGAACCGUUUGCAGUCCUGUCAUUAGUGUGAUAAUUAUCUACACUGUGAUGAUUGCUCUCUGACUAGUUCAGCUACUAAUCGUCCUCCGUUGGACAAGUUCAUGAACUUCUUGACCUCAAAUCAGGUAGGACUACCCGCUGAACUUAA
rnacentral:misc_RNA from 1 species